rnacentral:SRP_RNA from 1 species
GACCGUAUAGCGAGGACGAUGGUGUGAACCGGGUCAGAUCUGGAAGGAAGCAGCCCUAAGCAUUUCAUCGUCUUGUGCUGUACGUUAUUA